CCUACGGGAGGCUGCAGUGGGGAAUUUUGGACAAUGGGCGCAAGCCUGAUCCAGCUAUUCCGCGUGUGGGAAGACGGCCUUCGGGUUGUAAACCACUUUUGUAGAGAACGAAAAGUCUGUUGAUAAUACCGAUAGAUGAUGACGGUACUCUAAGAAUAAGCACCGGCUAACUACGUGCCAGCAGCCGCGGUAAUACGUAGGGUGCGAGCGUUAAUCGGAAUUACUGGGCGUAAGGGGUGUGCAGGCGGUUUUGCAAGAUGGAUGUGAAAGCCCCGGGCUUAACCUGGGAAAGCCAUACAUGACUGCAAGACUAGAGUGCGUCAGAGGGGGGUGGAAUUCCAAGUGUAGCAGUGAAAUGCGUAGAUAUUUGGAAGAACACCGAUGGCGAAGGCAGCCCCCUGGGACGCAACUGACGCUCAUACACGAAAGCGUGGGGAGCAAACAGGAUUAGAUACCCCAGUAGUC
rnacentral:rRNA from 1 species